rnacentral:piRNA from 1 species
UCACCAGCUGUUGUAUAAAAUCCACUUUCCUU